AUCCUUUCGUAGUUCUUAAGCAUGAUGAUUGGGUGUUCACACUGUUAUGUGACACGUGCCUCCCUCAAAUCUUGUUAAGACCUUGUCCCAUUACCCAUCUGACA
ensembl:snoRNA